rnacentral:rRNA from 1 species
AUGGCGAUGUCGGAUCUCGCGGCCGCGGUGAUCUCCAAGGCCAACGGCGGCGUGGACGGCGAGGAGCCGGUGGAGAUCCGGGAGGUGUGGGCGGACAACCUGGAGGCGGAGUUCGCGCUGAUCCGCGACGUCGUCGACGAGUUCCCCUUCGUCGCCAUGGACACCGAGUUCCCGGGCAUCGUCUGCCGCCCCGUCGGCGCCUUCCGCUCCCCGGCCGACUACAACUACGCCACCCUCAAGGCCAACGUCGACAUGCUGCACCUCAUCCAGCUGGGCCUCACCUUCUCGGGCCCCACGGGCGAGCUCCCUGCCCUCGGCGCCGGACGCCGCCGAUGCGUCUGGCAGUUCAACUUCCGGGAGUUCGACGACGAGCGCGACAUCUUCGCCACGGACUCCAUCGAGCUGCUCCGCCACAGCGGCAUCGACUUCCGCCGCAACGCCGAGCGCGGCGUCGACGCCCGCCGAUUUGCCGAGCUGCUCAUGUCCUCGGGCGUUGUGCUCAACGACGCCGUCUACUGGGUGACCUUCCACGCGGGAUACGACUUCGGCUACCUGCUCAAAAUCCUCACCUGUAACAGCCUCCCGGACACACAGGCUGGGUUCUUCAAGCUGAUGAAGAUAUAUUUCCCCACUGUCUAUGACAUCAAGCAUCUCAUGAAGUUCUGCAACAGCCUGCACGGCGGGCUGAACAAGCUCGCCGAGUUGCUCGAUGUGGAGCGUGUUGGAGAGUCACAUCAGGCCGGGUCCGAUAGCCUGGUCACGUCUUGUGCGUUCUGGAAACUCAAGGAUUCCUUCUUUGCUGGAUCAACCGAGAAAUAUGCAGGCGUGCUGUAUGGGCUCAAUGCAGAGAAUGGUGUCAGUGCACAUUGA